GGUUAAGCGACUAAGCGUACACGGUGGAUGCCCUGGCAGUCAGAGGCGAUGAAGGACGUGCUAAUCUGCGAAAAGCGUCGGUAAGGUGAUAUGAACCGUUAUAGCCGGCGAUGUCCGAAUGGGGAAACCCAGUGCAAUUCGUUGCACUAUCGUUAACUGAAUACAUAGGUUAACGAGGCGAACCGGGGGAACUGAAACAUCUAAGUACCCCGAGGAAAAGAAAUCAACCGAGAUUCCCCCAGUAGCGGCGAGCGAACGGGGAGCAGCCCAGAGUCUGAAUCAGCUUGUGUGUUAGUGGAACGGUCUGGAAAGUCCGACGGUACAGGGUGAUAGUCCCGUACACCAAAAUGCACAGGCUGUGAACUCGAAGAGUAGGGCGGGACACGUGGUAUCCUGUCUGAAUAUGGGGGGACCAUCCUCCAAGGCUAAAUACUCCUGACUGACCGAUAGUGAACCAGUACCGUGAGGGAAAGGCGAAAAGAACCCCGGCGAGGGGAGUGAAAAAGAACCUGAAACCGUGUACGUACAAGCAGUGGGAGCACCUUCGGGUGUGACUGCGUACCUUUUGUAUAAUGGGUCAGCGACUUAUAUUCUGUAGCAAGGUUAACCGUAUAGGGGAGCCGCAGGGAAACCGAGUCUUAACUGGGCGUUAAGUUGCAGGGUAUAGACCCGAAACCCGGUGAUCUAGCCAUGGGCAGGUUGAAGGUUGGGUAACACUAACUGGAGGACCGAACCGACUAAUGUUGAAAAAUUAGCGGAUGACUUGUGGCUGGGGGUGAAAGGCCAAUCAAACCGGGAGAUAGCUGGUUCUCCCCGAAAGCUAUUUAGGUAGCGCCUCGUGAAUUCAUCUUCGGGGGUAGAGCACUGUUUCGGCUAGGGGGUCAUCCCGACUUACCAACCCGAUGCAAACUACGAAUACCGAAGAAUGUUAUCACGGGAGACACACGGCGGGUGCUAACGUCCGUCGUGAAGAGGGAAACAACCCAGACCGCCAGCUAAGGUCCCAAAGUCAUGGUUAAGUGGGAAACGAUGUGGGAAGGCACAGACAGCCAGGAUGUUGGCUUAGAAGCAGCCAUCAUUUAAAGAAAGCGUAAUAGCUCACUGGUCGAGUCGGCCUGCGCGGAAGAUGUAACGGGGCUAAACCAUGCACCGAAGCUGCGGCAGCGACACUAUGUGUUGUUGGGUAGGGGAGCGUUCUGUAAGCCUGCGAAGGUGACCUGUGAGGGUUGCUGGAGGUAUCAGAAGUGCGAAUGCUGACAUAAGUAACGAUAAAGCGGGUGAAAAGCCCGCUCGCCGGAAGACCAAGGGUUCCUGUCCAACGUUAAUCGGGGCAGGGUGAGUCGACCCCUAAGGCGAGGCCGAAAGGCGUAGUCGAUGGGAAACAGGUUAAUAUUCCUGUACUUGGUGUUACUGCGAAGGGGGGACGGAGAAGGCUAUGUUAGCCGGGCGACGGUUGUCCCGGUUUAAGCAUGUAGGCUGGUUGUCCAGGCAAAUCCGGAUAAUCAAGGCUGAGGUGUGAUGACGAGGCACUACGGUGCUGAAGUAACAAAUGCCCUGCUUCCAGGAAAAGCCUCUAAGCAUCAGGUAACAUCAAAUCGUACCCCAAACCGACACAGGUGGUCAGGUAGAGAAUACCAAGGCGCUUGAGAGAACUCGGGUGAAGGAACUAGGCAAAAUGGUGCCGUAACUUCGGGAGAAGGCACGCUGGUGUGUAGGUGAAGUCCCUGCGGAUGGAGCUGAGACCAGUCGAAGAUACCAGCUGGCUGCAACUGUUUAUUAAAAACACAGCACUGUGCAAACACGAAAGUGGACGUAUACGGUGUGACGCCUGCCCGGUGCCGGAAGGUUAAUUGAUGGGGUUAUCCGUAAGGAGAAGCUCUUGAUCGAAGCCCCGGUAAACGGCGGCCGUAACUAUAACGGUCCUAAGGUAGCGAAAUUCCUUGUCGGGUAAGUUCCGACCUGCACGAAUGGCGUAAUGAUGGCCAGGCUGUCUCCACCCGAGACUCAGUGAAAUUGAACUCGCUGUGAAGAUGCAGUGUACCCGCGGCAAGACGGAAAGACCCCGUGAACCUUUACUAUAGCUUGACACUGAACAUUGAGCCUUGAUGUGUAGGAUAGGUGGGAGGCUUUGAAGCGUGGACGCCAGUCUGCGUGGAGCCAACCUUGAAAUACCACCCUUUAAUGUUUGAUGUUCUAACGUUGGCCCCUGACCGGGGUUGCGGACAGUGUCUGGUGGGUAGUUUGACUGGGGCGGUCUCCUCCCAAAGCGUAACGGAGGAGCACGAAGGUUAGCUAAUCCUGGUCGGACAUCAGGAGGUUAGUGCAAUGGCAUAAGCUAGCUUGACUGCGAGCGUGACGGCGCGAGCAGGUGCGAAAGCAGGUCAUAGUGAUCCGGUGGUUCUGAAUGGAAGGGCCAUCGCUCAACGGAUAAAAGGUACUCCGGGGAUAACAGGCUGAUACCGCCCAAGAGUUCAUAUCGACGGCGGUGUUUGGCACCUCGAUGUCGGCUCAUCACAUCCUGGGGCUGAAGUAGGUCCCAAGGGUAUGGCUGUUCGCCAUUUAAAGUGGUACGCGAGCUGGGUUUAGAACGUCGUGAGACAGUUCGGUCCCUAUCUGCCGUGGGCGCUGGAGAAUUGAGGGGGGCUGCUCCUAGUACGAGAGGACCGGAGUGGACGCAUCACUGGUGUUCGGGUUGUCAUGCCAAUGGCACUGCCCGGUAGCUAAAUGCGGAAGAGAUAAGUGCUGAAAGCAUCUAAGCACGAAACUUGCCCCGAGAUGAGUUCUCCCUGAGACUUUAAGUCUCCUGAAGGAACGUUGAAGACGACGACGUUGAUAGGCCGGGUGUGUAAGCGCAGCGAUGCGUUGAGCUAACCGGUACUAAUGAACCGUGAGGCUUAACCUU
rnacentral:rRNA from 1 species